rnacentral:rRNA from 1 species
GACGAACGCUGGCGGCGUGCUUAACACAUGCAAGUCGAACGGAAAGGCCCUGCUUUUGUGGGGUGCUCGAGUGGCGAACGGGUGAGUAACACGUGAGUAACCUGCCCUUGACUUUGGGAUAACUUCAGGAAACUGGGGCUAAUACCGGAUAGGAGCUCCUGCUGCAUGGUGGGGGUUGGAAAGUUUCGGCGGUUGGGGAUGGACUCGCGGCUUAUCAGCUUGUUGGUGGGGUAGUGGCUUACCAAGGCUUUGACGGGUAGCCGGCCUGAGAGGGUGACCGGCCACAUUGGGACUGAGAUACGGCCCAGACUCCUACGGGAGGCAGCAGUGGGGAAUAUUGCACAAUGGGCGGAAGCCUGAUGCAGCAACGCCGCGUGCGGGAUGACGGCCUUCGGGGUGUAAACCGCUUUCGCCUGAGACGAAGCGUGAGUGACGGUAAUGGGUAAAGAAGCACCGGCUAACUACGUG